AAAAAAUUGAGGUAUUCGUACCUCUUUGUAUUUAAAACCUUACUCUAUAAAACCUAAAAUUUAUUUAAAUAAAAAAA
rnacentral:rRNA from 1 species